rnacentral:rRNA from 1 species
UACGGAGGGGGCGAGCGUUAUUCGGAAUUAUUGGGCGUAAAGGGCGCGUAGGCGGCUGUACAAGUCAAAGGUGAAAUCCCUCGGCUCAACUGAGGAACUGCCUUUGAAACUGUACGGCUUGAGGCCGGGAGGGGGUAGCGGAAUUCCCAGUGUAGCGGUGAAAUGCGUAGAUACUGGGAGGAACACCAGUGGCGAAGGCGGUUCUCUGGGCCUGUACUGACGCUGAGGAGCGAAAGCGUGGGGAGCGAACAGG